rnacentral:pre_miRNA from 1 species
CACUAAGAAGACAGUUCUCGAUAAAUUUGUCUUUUUCCGCUUUGCUGCUGAUUGUUAUGAAAUCUCAACAGCAAAGUGAAAAGGUCUCCUUUAUCAGAACGUUCUACGUG